ensembl:lncRNA
CAAAAGGCCCCGUCUGCUGGCUUUCCUUUUCUUUUUCCCUCUGUAAAGCUGAAGUGGGGAUCAGUUUCCAAGCAGGGAAGGGGACAGAACAGGAGCCAAAGUGACCCCGCAGAGCACCCAGGGGGAUGCAAGGACAGAAGUGACCUUCAGGUUGUCUGCUGCUUUCAGCCAGCUCUCCCUUUAGCCUCUGCAUUCAGAGUGCCUCCUCUUUGGCGUCAUCGGCUGGCUUAGCCUGAGCGCUUCCACUGCUCAUGACAACAUCAUUCAUGGAGAGAAUAAACAAGAUCGAUCCCAGGAUUGAUUCCAGAGAAGCUCCAGUGGUGAACUCUGUCUAGUCCACUACAUCCUCCUUCUCAAGGAUACAGACCUGGAUAACAUGUGGCUGUCCAGCUGCCUUGGCUGGGCAGGCUGAAAAACAUCAGCUGGGGGCUGAUCCCAGUGCUCCCAGCCUCAGGUUACCUCCCCAGGGAAAGGAUGCUCCGUGGCACUGCUACUGGGACGUACGGCAAGGCAAGGCUGUCACAGCCCUAUUGGAAAAGACCCUCUCCAGACCCAGCCC